rfam:Triticum urartu cultivar G1812 contig766781, whole genome shotgun sequence.
UUAAUACUCCCUCAGUCUCAAAAUUCUUGUUUUAAAUUUUUCUAAAUACAGAUGUAUCAAGUCACGUUUUAGUAUUAGAUGCAUCCGUAUCUAGACGAAUCUAAGACAAGAAUUUUGAGACGGAGGGAGUACGAC